rnacentral:rRNA from 1 species
AUACGGAGGAUCCGAGCGUUAUCCGGAUUUAUUGGGUUUAAAGGGAGCGUAGGUGGACAGUUAAGUCAGUUGUGAAGGUUUGCGGCUCAACCGUAAAAUUGCAGUUGAUACUGGCUGUCUUGAGUACAGUAGAGGUGGGCGGAAUUCGUGGUGUAGCGGUGAAAUGCUUAGAUAUCACGAAGAACUCCGAUUGCGAAGGCAGCUCACUGGACUGCGACUGACACUGAUGCUCGAAAGUGUGGGUAUCAAACAGGAUUAGAUACCCUGGUAGUCCACACAGUAAACGAUGAAUACUCGCUGUUUGCGAUAUACAGUAAGCGGCCAAGCGAAAGCAUUAAGUAUUCCACCUGGGGAGUACGCCGGCAACGGUGAAACUCAAAUGAAUUGACGGGG